rnacentral:pre_miRNA from 1 species
GGGAGCGCAGGGUCCUGGGCUGUGUCCCCUACGCCCUGGGCUCCCGGGCCUGCGCUGUUGGGAUCCCGCUCCCGGGCCGGGGCUCCC